UGGGGAAUAUUGCACAAUGGGGGGAACCCUGAUGCAGCAACGCCGCGGGAGUGAUGAAGGUUUUCGGAUCGUAAAGCUCGGUCUUUGGGGAAGAUAAUGACGGUACCAAAGGAGGAAGCCACGGCUAACUACGUGCCAGCAGCCGCGGUAAUACGUAGGUGGCGAGCGUUAUAAGGAUUUACUGGGCGUAAAGGGAGCGUAGGCGGAUGAUUAAGUGGGAUGUGAAAUACCCAGGCUCAACUUGGGUGCUGCAUUCCAAACUGGUUAUCUAGAGUGCAGGAGAGGAGAGUGGAAUUCCUAGUGUAGCGGUGAAAUGCGUAGAGAUUAGGAAGAACACCAGUGGCGAAGGCGACUCUCUGGACUGUAACUGACGCUGAGGCUCGAAAGCGUGGGGAGCAAACA
rnacentral:rRNA from 1 species